rnacentral:rRNA from 1 species
AGAGUUUGAUCCUGGCUCAGGACGAACGCUGGCGGCGUGCUUAACACAUGCAAGUCGAGCGGUAAGGCCUUUCGGGGUACACGAGCGGCGAACGGGUGAGUAACACGUGGGUGAUCUGCCCUGCACUUCGGGAUAAGCCUGGGAAACUGGGUCUAAUACCGGAUAUGACCUCCUAUCGCAUGGUGGGUGGUGGAAAGAUUUAUCGGUGCAGGAUGGGCCCGCGGCCUAUCAGCUUGUUGGUGGGGUAAUGGCCUACCAAGGCGACGACGGGUAGCCGACCUGAGAGGGUGACCGGCCACACUGGGACUGAGACACGGCCCAGACUCCUACGGGAGGCAGCAGUGGGGAAUAUUGCACAAUGGGCGAAAGCCUGAUGCAGCGACGCCGCGUGAGGGAUGACGGCCUUCGGGCUGUAAACCUCUUUCAGCAGGGACGAAGCGCAAGUGACGGUACCUGCAGAAGAAGCACCGGCUAACUACGUGCCAGCAGCCGCGGCAAUACGUAAGGUGCAAGCGUUGUCCGGAAUUACUG